GACGAACGCUGGCGGCGUGCUUAACACAUGCAAGUCGAACGAUGAACCGCUUUCGGGCGGGGAUUAGUGGCGAACGGGUGAGUAACACGUGGGCAAUCUGCCCUGCACUCUGGGACAAGCCCUGGAAACGGGGUCUAAUACCGGAUACUCACUGCCUUGGGCAUCCAAGGUGGUGGAAAGCUCCGGCGGUGCAGGAUGAGCCCGCGGCCUAUCAGCUAGUUGGUGAGGUAAUGGCUCACCAAGGCGACGACGGGUAGCCGGCCUGAGAGGGCGACCGGCCACACUGGGACUGAGACACGGCCCAGACUCCUACGGGAGGCAGCAGUGGGGAAUAUUGCACAAUGGGCGAAAGCCUGAUGCAGCGACGCCGCGUGAGGGAUGACGGCCUUCGGGUUGUAAACCUCUUUCAGCAGGGAAGAAGCGAGAGUGACGGUACCUGCAGAAGAAGUGCCGGCUAACUACGUGCCAGCCGCCGCCGUAACAC
rnacentral:rRNA from 1 species